rnacentral:rRNA from 1 species
AUGAUGGAACUGUUAUCGCAUGAAUCUUUUGUCAAACUCUUAGUGACUCUAUGGGCAAUAUGGUGGGCUCAAUGUCAAGCAAUCCAUGAGGGAAUUUUCCAAAGUCCUUUUGCUACCCAUUUUUUUGUUGAGAGGUUUAUACGUGAGCUACAGAGUUUGGGAGCCAGCAAGCCAAUGAGUAAUGUGGGAGUGAUAAGGCAUCCCAAUGCCAAGGUGCCACCUACAGGUUUUGCUAAGAUCCAUGUUAAUGCUGGAGUGUCGCGUUUCAACAGGGGAGGUUCAGCGGCAGCCAUCUGUAGAGAUGACAAUGGAUGCUACUUGGGAAGCUCAGCCCUAGUGAUCCCAGGGGUGCUGAACAUAGCAACCCUGGAAGCAAUCGUGUGUCGGGAGGCACUAUCUCUGGCUGAAGACUUGCACAUUCAAAAUUUCAUCAUAGCUUCAGAUUCUAAGCAGGUGAUAAAUGAUAUAAACAAGGGCUACAAAGGCAAGUAUGGCACGAUCAUAACAGAAAUUAGCUUGCGAGCUUCUGCUUUCAAUUGCAUCUUCGCUUUUGAGGGCCGGGCAUCGAAUGGUGAUGCUCACAACAUAGCUAGAUCCUCUAUUUCCCUUUAGAAGGGGAACCAUAUUUGGCUUGUUCACCCCCAUGCAAAUUGUAUUCCACAAACUGUGGCUUUUGAUCAAUAA